rnacentral:lncRNA from 1 species
GGGCUACAGCCAAUGGCUACAGUAAUAGAACCGGAUAAAAGGUAGGAAAGAAAAAAAAAACAUUAAUGGCAGUGAGUUCAUCACUCCCAAUUCUCAUGGCAAAUCCAGUACCCAAAAUCAGCUGUUAUAUCCAUAUCGAAAAUAGGGUUAGGUGCUUUAAACCAGAGAACACUCAAGAAUCUUGUUCAAGAAACGGAUUAAGCAUCUUCUGUUUCAAUAACACAAGCAUGUAAGCAAUCUCAUUUUACUGGAACCUGAAUCUUAUCAGGAUGUUCGUUCCAUAUUGGAAAAUACUGAGAGGAAUACACAACAGCAGAACCCUCAACAGGUUUUCAAGGUGUAAUAAAUGUACUGAAGGACGGCAACAGAUUCCCACUCCAACGCAGAUUACAAAGCCUCGCUCCACCACAGAUUGCAAAGUUCUCCUGCAGCUCAGAUUGAAGAGUCUGACCUCAACACAAAUUGUACAAAUAGCAGAGUUUCAGAGCUUCCUUCCUACUGCUGCAAUGUUACGAUUGCUCUACAUACAAGUGAUAGGAUGGUAGUUAAUAAAGAUAGAUCGUGAAUAUAGGAGAAUUAAUAACCAUCCUUCUCUGCUCUGCUGUAACAGAAAUCAAUUGUGUAUAUACCUCUGUUGCUGUAACAGAAAAUAUACGAAAUGAGAUUCCUCCUUCUCUUUGUUUCUUCAUGGUACCAGGGAGGUUCUUAAUACCCUGUUGAUUGUUUAAGAAUCCUAUGAAAGACCCG